rnacentral:rRNA from 1 species
AACGAACGCUGGCGGCAUGCCUAACACAUGCAAGUCGAACGAGACCUUCGGGUCUAGUGGCGCACGGGUGCGUAACGCGUGGGAACCUGCCCUUAGGUUCGGAAUAACUCCCCGAAAGGGGUGCUAAUACCGGAUAAUGUCUUCGGACCAAAGAUUUAUCGCCUUUGGAUGGGCCCGCGUUGCAUUAGCUAGUUGGUAGGGUAAAAGCCUACCAAGGCGACAAUCCAUAGCUGGUCUGAGAGGAUGAUCAGCCACACUGAGACUGAGACACGGCCCAGACUCCUACGGGAUGCAGCAGUGGGGAAUAUUGGAAAGUGGGCGAAAGCAUGAUCCAGCAAUGCCGCGUGAGUGAUGAAGGCCUGAGGGUUGUAAAGCUCUUUUACCCGGGAUGAUAAUGACAGUACCGGGAGAGUAAGCUCCGGCUAACUCCGUG